UCAUCUGGGAUGAAGAAGCCUUCGUGCUCACCCUGACUGCAGACCUUUUUUAGCAAGGUCUGAACACACAGGAGCAUCAAUCGGACUCUGGACUUCUUAAACUGCAGUAGACACAGACACGUUCACUGAACAAAGGCUCCAGAGCCAUGAAGGGCGGAGCUUGGAUGGGAUAGGGAUCAACAGGGUGGAGAUUCCUGAGGGAAAAACAUCCCCUACUCCUCCAUUGCUCCAUUUCCCUGCCUUCUGGCAACUGCUCAAAUCUCUUCACUCCAGGUGGAGCUUUCCCACUUCCCACCCCAGUCAGCCUCAGGCCACAUGGCUCUCCUCUCCAGCCCGUGGAUGCUUUCUUCACCUUCCUUUUCCAUAGCUCUAUUUAGCCUCUCUUGGUUUCCUCACAAGUCCUUUCCCCAUGGCCAGGGAGGGCUGCUAUGGAGCCAAGGGACAUCCUCCUGGCCAUGUGUGAAGAGCAAUGGCAUUUUAUGUCGGAAUCCUCCCACCUUUUGGGGCUGUGACUUGCAUGGGACGAGGAGCCCACCUGGACCUGUUUUUCCACCCAGGUACGCUUCACUCUCACAUCUUGUUCCUGUGAUGUUUCCAUCCUCGGGGCAGAGAAGCCAAGUGGAGCCCAGCUAGUCCGAGGCUUGUGAUCAAUAAACAAAAUAGUCAAUCCUCCAUUUCUUCCACCUCCUAAG
rnacentral:lncRNA from 1 species